rnacentral:rRNA from 1 species
UACGUAGGGUCCAAGCGUUAAUCGGAAUUAUUGGGCGUAAAGAGCUCGUAGGCGGUCUGUCGCGUCGGAUGUGAAAACUCGGGGCUCAACCCCGAGCCUGCAUACGAUACGGGCAGACUUGAGUUCGGCAGGGGAGACUGGAAUUCCUGGUGUAGCGGUGAAAUGCGCAGAUAUCAGGAGGAACACCGGUGGCGAAGGCGGGUCUCUGGGCCGAUACUGACGCUGAGGAGCGAAAGCGUGGGGAGCGAACAGG